rnacentral:rRNA from 1 species
GAUGAACGCUGGCGGCGUGCCUAAUACAUGCAAGUAGAACGCUGAAGGAAGGAGCUUGCUCUUUCCGGAUGAGUUGCGAACGGGUGAGUAACGCGUAGGUAACCUGCCUGGUAGCGGGGGAUAACUAUUGGAAACGAUAGCUAAUACCGCAUAACAGUAGAUGUUGCAUGAUAUCUACUUAAAAGGUGCAAUUGCACCACUACCAGCUGGACCUGCGUUGUAUUAGCUAGUUGGUGAGGUAACGGCUCACCAAGGCGACGAUACAUAGCCGACCUGAGAGGGUGAUCGGCCACACUGGGACUGAGACACGGCCCAGACUCCUACGGGAGGCAGCAGUAGGGAAUCUUCGGCAAUGGACGGAAGUCUGACCGAGCAACGCCGCGUGAGUGAAGAAGGUUUUCGAAUCGUAAAGCUCUGUUAUAAGAGAAGAACGAGUGUGAGAGUGGAAAGUUCACACUGUGACGGUAUCUUACCAGAAAGGGACGGCUAACUACGUG